rnacentral:lncRNA from 1 species
GCCGGCUCUCAGAGGGACUUCCCGAAGGUUGGGCUCAUGCUCAGAGCUCGGUGUCCUCUCUGGUGACGGUGGGCAGAGCUGCUUACUUCCUGGCCCUGGUGAGCCCUAAGGAACCCAAGAAGUGGGGAUGAGAGUGGCAGUUGGAGGCUCGAGGUGAGCCUCGAGCUGGCUGUGUGCUGAAGAGGAAUCCAGGAAUCCAGGAAUCCAAGGUCCAGGGUGAGACCGCUUGGUUCCUAACAUUUACCAGGACUGCACAGGAAAAAGAGUUAUUGAAUGAAAUGAAGUCAGCAGCCAGUACGACUUGGGUUUUCUCCCGUUUCUCCCACAAGGCCUGAAACAUGGAUGAAUUGGUUGUAGCUGAUGUUUACCUUUCCCACUCUGAUUCAUUAUCACAUGCAGGGAUUGGGCCUUGCUGCUGAGGACGGGAAAUUCGAGGCCAGGUCUGAGGACGAGUUUCCUGUGUCCUGGAGCAAGCAGAGCCUGCGCCUCCUGGGGCCGUGUGCAACAAAAGCGUGCGGAGCUCGUGGACGGAAAAGGACCAACCAGAGAAGACCAGGUGCACCAAUCAUGGAGGAUGCCCCGCCCCCAGUUGGUCUUUGUUUAUUUCUACUGAGAUGACUGACAAACAGGAAUGAUAUCUAAAACAUGUUGGUGGCGGAAAAAGUCAUUGAGAAAGCAAGCAGGAUCAAGGGCUAUAGACACAGGAUGGCCAUGUCUAGUAAGUAGCUGAGAAGGCCUGGGGGAGAGGGGAUAUUGGAGCAGUACAGGAAUGAGCGGGAGCCCUGAGGUACCCAGGAAGAGCCUUCCAGAUACAGAGCACAAGGAGAAGGGCUAGUUGGGGACAGAGAGAAGUGUGAGGAUCGGGGAGCCGACUUCAAAGAGGGGUGCUGGAUGCAGGGUCUGUGUGUAUGGGCUGUUGGGAUGGGUGGUCUGCAGCAUGGUAGUGAGGACUUCACACAUGACCCAGGGUCCCACGGCCACUGUCAGGACCUUAGCUUUUACUUUGAGCAUGACAGGAACCAUCGCAGGCUUUGAACAGAGUUUCUGUCCUGCAGAGGCCUUCUGAUGUGCAACUAGACUUCCUGUGGGCAAGGGACAAGGGUGGAAAGAGAGAGACCAAUGAGGUAGCUGUUGAGUAAGCAGACAGCAAGGGUAGGGGACAGUGGAAACCUACAGCCCCUUCAGAAAUGGAGUCUCAGAUAUGGACCAAGUCCUACCUUCUCCUGGGCCUGACUCCUGCCUCAGCCUCUCAGAGUGCUGGGAUUACAGGUGUGCACCACCAUGCCUGGCCCAUCCC